rnacentral:rRNA from 1 species
UACAGAGGUUUCAAGCGUUGUUCGGAUUCAUUGGGCGUAAAGGGUGCGUAGGCGGCGCGGUAAGUCGGGUGUGAAAUCUCGGGGCUUAACUCCGAAACUGCAUUCGAUACUGCCGUGCUUGAGGACUGGAGAGGAGACUGGAAUUUACGGUGUAGCGGUGAAAUGCGUAGAUAUCGUAAGGAAGACCAGUGGCGAAGGCGGGUCUCUGGACAGUUCCUGACGCUGAGGCACGAAGGUCAGGGGAGCAAACGGG